GCUGACCUUUGCGGUGUAAUAAAACCUCAUUGCUGGGCCUAAUGGAUUUCGGGCAUGUUUUAAGAUUUAAAGCUUUCAGCAUUUUCGCAGGCCCUUCGACAUUGCAUUUGAUUUGGCGACUUGAAUUGAAGAAAUCGUUUCAAAGGGAAAAACGAACGAUCAUGGUUGUUGACCUGCCACAAAAGAUAUGGUAACUAAUCAUACAGACACCGGUCACCCUUCCGUGGUUCAUACAUUCGUGGAACAAGACAAAACAUUUGAUGACUACUGUUAAUGAUUUUUAAAUAAACAAACUGUAAAAUUGACUUUACAACUAAACAACAUAAAAAAUCACCCCAUGCGCAUCACAUGACCCAAAAACCAGUCUCUUUAAUAGCGUGUCCAACGUACUAAUAAUCUGUUAAACGAGCCUGGUACAAGAACAAAUUACUUAUUUAUUGGAUUCUGAUUUUCUAGAUGACUGUUUACCAACCUAAAUAUUUAAAUCAAUAUUUAAUGUAAUGUAAGAAAAGCUUUCGAUUUUUUGCUUUUGAGAUUCGUGCUAAAAGGGGCUUAAGGCUAAAAGAUACAAUUAAAUAAGA